GAUCAUGGCUCAGGAUGAACGCUGGCGGCGUGCCUAACACAUGCAAGUCGAGCGAGAAGCUCAUGAUCGAAACUUCGGUUGAUUGAUUGAGUGGAAAGCGGCGGACGGGUGAGUAACGCGUAGGCAACCUGCCCCUUGCAGAGGGAUAGCCUCGGGAAACCGGGAUUAAAACCUCAUAAUGCAGGAGCGAGACAUCUCGCACCUGCCAAAGAUUUAUCGGCAGGGGAUGGGCCUGCGUCUGAUUAGUUAGUUGGUGGGGUAACGGCCUACCAAGGCAGCGAUCAGUAGCCGAUCUGAGAGGGUGAUCGGCCACAUUGGAACUGAGACACGGUCCAAACUCCUACGGGAGGCAGCAGUGGGGAAUAUUGCACAAUGGGCGAAAGCCUGAAUGCAGCAACGCCGCGUGAAGGAUGAAGGCCCUUGGGUCGUAAACUUCUGUUCUAAGGGAAGAUAAUGACGGUACCUUAGGAGCAAGUCCCGGCUAACUACGUGCCAGCCGCAGC
rnacentral:rRNA from 1 species